CCCUUAGAUGUUCUGGGCCGCACGCGCGCUACACUGAUGCAUUCAACGAGUCUAAAACCUGGUCUGAUAGGGCUGGGUAAUCUUUUGAAAGUGCAUCGUGAUUGGGAUAGAUGAUUGCAAUUCUUCAUCUCCAACGAGGAAUGCCUAGUAAACGCAAGUCAUCAGCUUGCAUUGAUUACGUCCCUGCCCUUUGUACACACCGCCCGUCGCUCCUACCGAUUGAAUGAUCCGAUGAAUACCAUGGAUUGAGAGUACGAAUGGGUUCGCUCAUUUCUGCUGCUCGAGAAGUGGAGUAAAUCUUAUCAUUUAGAGGAAGGAGAAGUCGUAACA
rnacentral:rRNA from 1 species